CCCAUCUUUAUCCUAGGGCAUCAAAUAUUAAUAGAGUGGUUGUAUAUUUUCGAUGCAACUGACCCACUGUAAUCGAUCGAAAAAGAUCAACGUCAGAAAGGCACCCACAUCUCUACAAUAAUGGAAGACCUCGAGACUUAAUAUUUAGUGAGGAGAUUUAGGUAGAUCUCUUUUAAAUCAGUAGAUAUAAUAUCCGACUGAUCAAGUUCAAGCCAGCACAUCUAUAUGUCUGACCA
rnacentral:lncRNA from 1 species